rnacentral:rRNA from 1 species
UACGUAGGGUGCAAGCGUUGUCCGGAAUUAUUGGGCGUAAAGAGCUCGUAGGCGGUUCGUCGCGUCGGCUGUGAAAACCUGAGGCUCAACCUCAGGCCUGCAGUCGAUACGGGCGGACUUGAGUACUGCAGGGGGAGACUGGAAUUCCUGGUGUAGCGGUGAAAUGCGCAGAUAUCAGGAGGAACACCGGUGGCGAAGGCGGUUCUCUGGGCAUUAACUGACGCUGAGGAGCGAAAGCAUGGGGAGCGAACAGG